AAAUUUAUUAAUUAAUAGUGAAAAUAAAAGAAAAAAUUAAAGAAAAACUGAUUUAUUCAUCUUUAAGCACACACAUCAAGUCCAAAGAACCUAUUUGAUAUUUGCUUCCUUAACCCUUCAUAUCAAGGCUGAUUGUGAUUAAAAUGGCUAUUUUAGAUUUGCAACUCGAAGAAUCUACUCUGCAUCCAGAAGUACUAUUAACAAUAAAGGAAUAUCUUCAUGAAGGCAUUGUUGGCAUGAACACUAUGGAUAAACUUAUCAAAUUUUUACAAAAUAAAUUGAACAAUUCAGGAUUGUCAAAUUAUUUUGUCGCCUGUAAUGAGAAUGAUUUCAUUUUGACUGAGGCAUAUCAUCUACAAUAUGCAGUAAUCAGAUAUGGGUUUGACAUAAUACAAGUGAUCAGAACUCAUUAAAAUAUGUAUUAUACUUGUAGAAACCCAGCAAAAUGGAAAAAUUUUAAUAAUAAUAAACUUGC